rnacentral:rRNA from 1 species
GGUGCCCUGAACAAGCCUGAUCCUGGCUAAGCAGGGGCGGAAGAUAAGCAGGGUCAGGCCUGGUUAGUACUUGGAUGGGACACCACCUAGGCAGACCAGGUGCUAUAGGCA